CAACGAAUCUUCCCCAAUGGGCGAAAGCCUGAGGGAGCGACGCCGCGUGUGGGACGAAGUACUUCGGUAUGUAAACCACUGUUAGGGUUAUGAAAGCGACAGGACCUAAUACGUCUUGAAGUUGAUCUGACCCAGAGAAAGGGACGGCUAACUCUGUGCCAGCAGCCGCGGUAAUACAGAGGUCCCGAGCGUUACUGAGAAUCACUGGGUUUAAAGGGUGCGUAGGUGGUCCGUUAAGUCAGUUGUGAAAUCCCCGGGCUCAACCCGGGAACUGCUUCUGAUACUGGCGGACUUGAGGCCAGUAGGGGUCACUAGAACUGACGGUGGAGCGGUGAAAUGCGUAGAUAUCGUCAGGAAUGCCGGUGGUGAAGACGGGUGACUGGGCUGGUUCUGACACUGAGGCACGAAAGCGUGGGGAGCGAACGGGAUUAGAUACCCGGGUAGUCC
rnacentral:rRNA from 1 species